UCCCAGACUCCUACGGGAGGCAGCAGUGGGGAAUAUUGCACAAUGGGGGAAACCCUGAUGCAGCAACGCCGCGUGAGUGAAGAAGUCAUUCGUGAUGUAAAGCUCUAUCAGCAGGGAAGAAAAUGACGGUACCUGAGUAAGAAGCCCCGGCUAACUACGUGCCAGCAGCCGCGGUAAUACGUAUGGUGCAAGCGUUAUCCGGAUUUACUGGGUGUAAAGGGAGCGCAGGCGGCACGGCAAGCCUGAUGUGAAAGCCCGCGGCCCAACCGCGGGACUGCAUUGGGAACUACCGGGCUGGAGUGCCGGAGAGGUAGGCGGAAUUCCUAGUGUAGCGGUGAAAUGCGUAGAUAUUAGGAGGAACACCAGUGGCGAAGGCGGCCUACUGGACGGUGGCUGACGCUGAGGCUCGAAAGCGUGGGGAGCAAACAGGAUUAGAUACCCUUGUAC
rnacentral:rRNA from 1 species